rnacentral:rRNA from 1 species
GCAGUCGGACGGCAGCACAGAGAAGCUUGCUUCUUGGGUGGCGAGUGGCGAACGGGUGAGUAACGCAUCGGAACGUACCGAGUAAUGGGGGAUAACUGUCCGAAAGGACAGCUAAUACCGCAUACGCCCUGAGGGGGAAAGCGGGGGAUCUUAGGACCUCGCGUUAUUCGAGCGGCCGAUGUCUGAUUAGCUGGUUGGCGGGGUAAAGGCCCACCAAGGCGACGAUCAGUAGCGGGUCUGAGAGGAUGAUCCGCCACACUGGGACUGAGACACGGCCCAGACUCCUACGGGAGGCAGCAGUGGGGAAUUUUGGACAAUGGGCGCAAGCCUGAUCCAGCCAUGCCGCGUGUCUGAAGAAGGCCUUCGGGUUGUAAAGGACUUUUGUCAGGGAAGAAAAGGGGCAUGUUAAUACCGUGCUCUGAUGACGGUACCUGAAGAAUAAGCACCGGCUAACUACGUGCCAGCAGCCGNGGUAAUACGUAGGGUGCAAGCCGUU